ACGGGAGGCAGCAGUGGGGAAUAUUGCACAAUGGGCGAAAGCCUGAUGCAGCGACGCCGCGUGAGGGAUGAAGGCCUUCGGGUUGUAAACCUCUUUCAGCAGGGAAGAAGCGCAAGUGACGGUACCUGCAGAAGAAGCGCCGGCUAACUACGUGCCAGCAGCCGCGGUAAUACGUAGGGCGCAAGCGUUGUCCGGAAUUAUUGGGCGUAAAGAGCUCGUAGGCGGUUUGUCGCGUCUGGUGUGAAAACUCGAGGCUCAACCUCGAGCUUGCAUCGGGUACGGGCAGACUAGAGUGCGGUAGGGGAGACUGGAAUUCCUGGUGUAGCGGUGGAAUGCGCAGAUAUCAGGAGGAACACCGAUGGCGAAGGCAGG
rnacentral:rRNA from 1 species